rnacentral:rRNA from 1 species
AACGAACGCUGGCGGCAUGCCUAACACAUGCAAGUCGAACGAGACCUUCGGGUCUAGUGGCGCACGGGUGCGUAACGCGUGGGAACCCGCCCUUAGGUUCGGAAUAACUCCCCGAAAGGGGUGCUAAUACCGGAUAAUGUCUUCGGACCAAAGAUUUAUCGCCUUUGGAUGGGCCCGCGUUGGAUUAGCUAGUUGGUAGGGUAAAAGCCUACCAAGGCGACGAUCCAUAGCUGGUCUGAGAGGAUGAUCAGCCACACUGGGACUGAGACACGGCCCAGACUCCUACGGGAGGCAGCAGUGGGGAAUAUUGGACAACGGGCGAAAGCCUGAUCCAGCAAUGCCGCGUGAGUGAUGAAGGCCUUAGGGUUGUAAAGCUCUUUUACCCGGGAUGAUAAUGACAGUACCGGGAGAAUAAGCUCCGGCUAACUCCGUG